AAAGAACUCUUCGUGUGAAAAAAUAUGCAUGUACUGGACAAAUUCUAGAGUUUUUAGCUCUUAAUUUUGCAUCUGUUUUGUACUUUAUCAAGAAAAGGUAUAUAGAUUUUGAGGAUUAGUUGGUGCGCAUUGAAAUUAGAGUAUGAUCACUGACGAAACAACAACGGAUUAUACAGAGUCAGUCAUUAUGGCACAGGAGCUUCCAAAUGGUAUGUCUGCUUUCGUCAGUUAUUUAUUGUUUAUUUUAUCCUGUAUUUAUAGUUGUAUGAGUUGAAUUUAUAAAUGGUAUCGUUAUGUAAGCUAUUGAACUUUGAAAACUCGUUUAAAAGGGAUUUAUAAAUGUAUUAACUCGCUUCAUAAAAUGGUCCAUUUAUAUGUUGUAUUUCUUGUAUGAAAUUUGAAAUUCUAUAUUUAUUUUUUAUCUAGUUUAUUUGAACACAAUUACAUAGAAUAUAGAGUAGGUGUUGAAAUUACAAAAUAUUUUAAUAACACAUUAUCUUUUGUUUUAGUCUGUGCGUUAAAAUUAUUCUUAUAUAAUGGUUUUAUGCCAGUGUGUUAACAAUAAAUUUUAUAUUUUAAAUGAUUUCAUAUGUGUGCUGAAUAUUUGAUGGUUAAAAAGGCAUGGUCUUUGUUCUUACACGUGGCAAAAAUUGCUUAAAUUGUUGCCAGCUGGACCCCAAUUUAUAAUUUUAUAUACUUUUUAGCAUACUCAGUUGUAGGGCCUCAAUCCAGACUGCAGAGUUGGGCACUUUUCGACGAGAUCUCGGGUGCGCAAAUGUUAGAAAAUCGAAGUGCGGGUGCGCAAAACAGUUCCCAAGUGCGCAUCAAGAUGCAGUCAAGGGCACAAAAGUAGCGAGAUACAUGUUAAAAACAAUGAAAAUUAGAGAUUUGAGGGCAGAUUAAAUUGCAAAAUUUGUUAUAAAGUACAUCCCAGGUGCGCUGAAAUUUGUGCCUGAAAAAAUAUCGAGUGCGACGUUGACCAACUCUGCAGUCUGGGCCUCAAUGGUAACAAAAAGCAGGAGCAACAUCUGACCAAAAUGAAUUUCACUGGAAAUUUUUCAAAUUUUAUAGUCAGACAUAUUUGUAUUACAUUUAUUUAAUAUUUAUUAUUUCACAAUUAUUCACCGAAGGUGAGGUGAUUAUCAGGGAAUAUUCACCGAGAUGAAAUUGAGGUGAAUAUUCUCUGUUAAUCACCGAGCCUUGGACAAAUAAUUGUUUUAGUAUUUUCACACAAGUCUUUUGUGUUUUUUGGCACUGAAUUUAUUUAAUUUUGCUUAUUCUUUAUCAGUAACUUCCACAAAAUGACUAACCACCUUUUUGCAAAUUUUGGUUUUGUUAUAUUCACCUGUAGGUGAAUUAUAUAACAGCUUCAUACAUCAAAUUUGACCAGUCAACUUGUAGGAUUUGUUAUAUUCAUUUGUGCAAAAAUACUAAAUACCAUUGGGCAUAAAAAAAAACCCUGUGGUUCCGGUUCCCGACCGACCCUAUUUUUUUCAGCUGACCCUAUUAUUUUUUCAACGCCAAAAUGGCAUCUGUUCUCACACUAAUUAUUGAACCAAAUUGCCUAAAUUCGUCCAUAGGAAAUAUGCAUCUCUAGUUAAUAUUGAUGUCGGGACUCUACUGCAAAUCGCCCAGCAAACAACUGCCAAAACCAUGAAAAAAAUAUUCAAAAAAAAUUUAUUUCCGACCUACCGACCCUAAUUUUUUCACGAUAUGAAACCGGAACCACAGGUAUUUCUUUUUAUGCCUUAAGGUGGCUCUAUAUAGUAAAAUAUAUAAAUUUACUGUAUUACAGUGACUUAGCUAGGAGCCUAGGAUUUCUAGUCCAGGGGGGAGGGAGAGAAAAUCCUAGGAGCGGCCCAAACAAUUUUACCCUGCACAACUUUGAAUAAUGUGAAAGCGUAUUUGGAUGCUCAUGCUAUCCCUUGUCCUGACAAUGAACUUUUAGGGGGAGCCAGGGUUGUACAGGGAAUUUCUUUCAAUUCAAGAGUCAGUAAAUGCCAUUUUUAGCAUUUUGGGGGCUAUUUUAAUGACUGUUUUGGUGAUUUUAAUUUUUAAAUAUUAACCAUAUAACACAUAACAAUUCUACUUAAUAAUCACAAACGAAUCCAGAAGAUUUGAAACAUAGAAAUGAAAAUAUUAUUCACACGCUUGUAAAUAUAGUGAUUGACCGAUAAUUGGUAUCGGGCUGGUAGACAAUAGGCAUCGGUAGUAUUUUGGUAUUUCCCGAUUGUAUAAAACCGGUUGUUGAGAAAAUUUGAAAAAUGAAUAGUUAAUUUAAAUUAAAGGGCUUAAACUAAAGCAAAUUGUAUGAAAUUUUGUACAGUAAUUAAAAAAAAACCAACAACUUUUCCAUUUAUUUAACUCAAAAUAUGAUUAAAGCUUUUAAAUUUCGUGCGCAAGCUUAGCCAUUUUUAGUUUCUUGAAAAAGACCCCCCCCCCCCUGGUUCACAAAAUUUGUUCAAAAAUUUUUAUUAUUCUACAUUAUAAGUACCCAAAGAAGCUAUAUACAUAAAAAACUGGAUACUAAUAGCUGUUUUGCAAAAUUGAGAGCAAUUUCAAAUCUGUUCAGUUUUUUUUAUACACCCUGUAUAGUAAGCAUGCAACUCACAACAACCUGAUCAACUGCAGCCACAUUGAAAAAUGUUGGUGUUGGUCUGGAAACCGGAACCACAUUAUUUGACAGUCUCAGGGUUGACAAAACAUGCUGAACAUUUCUUAAUUUUCUUCCCUCACAUAUUAAUAUUAAUAUGAAAUGCUAAACUCUAUGUGCUAGAAUCACACAAUAUCCUUUGUCAACUGAAGGUGGUUCUACCAUGUCAUCAAGGUUAUUUAUAAAUUUUGUUGGAAUGAAUAAGCAAUGUGGAAGAAAUAGAAAAUUAAUAAAUAAUUGUCUGUUACUGAAGCUGUAAAAUUAAUACUUCAGUGUCAGUUGUGAAGAAGAUAUACAAUGCUAGGAACAAACGUGUUUUGGGGGCGUGGCAGAGGUAACACCCUAUGAAACAGGUUGGAAGGUCUCUUGUUCAUGCUUAUCAACAGUAUAUAUUCCCCUUGCCACAUGUCCAUACAUGUAGGUAUAGGCUUGGGCGGUUUUGCUUAAAAUCAAAACCGAAAAACCGUCUGAUUCUAAACCGGAAAAUCGGGUUGUUUCCCCUUUAAUUUUUACUUCAACUGAAUGGGAAGGAAUUGUGGUAUUUUUCUAACGUAAGCAAACGAACAGUAGACGACAAAACGCAAAAUUGUGUAAAGGUAACCUAAACGAUUUCAGUUUUAAAAUAAAAGGGUCAAGAACGCAUUUGAAAACUUAUACCUAUUUAGUUCUUACCGACUUUUUAUUUAGUGUUAUACAAUUGAGUUUAAAUAAGUGUCAUGUUUUGAGAAUUAAGAUGACAGAAAACAAUUACGUAGUGACGGUUUUACGGUUUUUGUAAAAGCUAAACCGAAAGAAAACGGUUUGAAAUUAAAACCGGUAAACCGCCCAAGCCUAUGUAGGUAUUUAACCCAUUGAGUCGCAUUGCGCCCUACUUUAUUGUUUUACUCUGUCUGACGCCAGACGAUUUUACUCGUCAAGGGGAGAGCGCUGGUGCUUAAUGGGUUAAUGUGCCUUAAAAGCAUCCAUGGAAACAUAAACCUUUGUCCUCCAUCUCAAUAAGUUUCUUUGACCUCAGGCAUGUAAUUUGCUUUUAAGGUAGUCUUUGGUGGAAAAAUUGUUGGUUUAAUGUCCUGGACAUAACUUGUUACAGCAUCAAUGCCGCAGAGAGGUGGGGGAGGAGGGCAUUUUGCUCCAGGUCAAAAAGGGCUCCCAAAGCGACGAUAAAAUUUUAUGAGUAGUUAAAUUUUUUCUUGAUACAAGAUUGCUUAAAUGAGAAUACAAAUUCCAGCUUCAUCAGUGCCGGAUUAUAUGUAAUAUAGUCGGAAGAGAUGUAUAUUGUAAAACUCCUGUUUUACAAUUAUGACGUCAUAGGGCACCCUGGGAAAGUUUUCUCCUGGGCCCUGCGCAACCUCUCGGUGGCCCUGUACAGCAUGAUAGCUCAUUGACAACAGAACAAGAUCUGUUCGUCUAUCAUUACUAUAUGACAACUAUUUUUAACAAACCUUUUUUAUUUGGGUGUUUAGUCAUGAUAGCUGGGAUUUCUUGCAGGACCUCACUCUCCGUUCUUUUUUUCCGCUUCAACGAGGACUUGCCACGCAGGCUAUGAAUCAUCUAGUUCAAUAGUUACUCCAUAGUUUGCGGAGUCAACAGAAGUGAAAACUCUUCCAGUUUCUUUUACUAGUCCACUGAAAGAAAUGACACUGUAUAUGCGACGGCUAUUAGAGGUGUUCAUGUUUAUUAUAUAUAGAGUCAUUGAGUCAGAGAGAGUGGGCGUUGAUGUGUUAGCAAUCUAUUAUACAUGUAGCUAUAUCAGAAUACUUUAAUCAUGGUGCGAUAAUUCAAGAUUUUUAGACUACAAGUUAGAACAAGGAGCACAAUUGCAUGUACAAAAACUACAAUCAACACCAACAACAUUCCUUAGCCCCAUCAGUCCAAUCGUGUUUCCGACCAAGAUAUAUCAGACUUACACAUAAUAGCGACUUAAUUGCGGUUUUGGAUGCCUUGGACUUGGAAAAGUCACAUGGUUCCAUAAAAAAGUAAGUAUAUACGGAGGUGGCCGAGAAAAGAAGUUACCUCCGGUACGUACUGUAAGUACGCGAUUUAUCAAGCGCCCUGCGAUUUAUCGCACUCUGGGUAUGUUAUCAUGAACACUUACUAGAGUACCUAUAUUUUAUAUUUUUAGAAUUAAGUGCGUCCAGUAUGAUAACAAGAGUGUGUGUGGUUGGACAACACAAUCAUGACAAUCUAGAACUCAACAAUGCUUUGAAGGUG